rnacentral:RNase_P_RNA from 1 species
GAGUAGGCUGAGCAGUUGCGCGCGCAGGCUUUGCGCGUGAGGAAAGUCCGAGCAUCACACAGCAGGGUAACGGCUAACAGCCGCCGAGGGCGACCUUAGGGAAAGUGCAUAGAGAGAUACCGCCGCACAUGGUGCGGUAAGGGUGGAAAGGCGAGGUAAGAGCUCACCGGCGUACCGGUAACGGUGCGGCCAAGUAAACCCUACCCGAUGCAACAUCGACCGAAGUUGUCAGCUGGGCAAAUCCUUCGACAGAUGGCUUCAGCGUACCGGCGACGGUGCGCGCAGAUAGAUAACUGCUUUCAACGACAGAACUCGGCUUACAGGCCUACUCA